UCGACUGUCACUCUGUUACCAAGAGCCUCAAGAGGAAGCCUGAAAGCAAACAGGAUUCCAAAGCUCAGCCCACCUCCCACUCUUCCCUCCCUAAGUCUGUUCUGUAAAUAUACAGUAGAGGGCACUAGUGAGCACCAGGGUUAUAAUGUCCCAAGUGUCCCCCAUGCAAUCCCCAGGCCCAGAUUCAGUCACAUGCUCCUUUCUCUGCCUGGAACGUUCUCCCCAACAUCUGUCAGCUUCUCCUGCCUUUGGGCCUUUGCUCUGAACCAUCAUUGCCCAAUCCUGUUGACCCCACCCCCAAUGAGCGUCUGUCAAACCGUAUCUUGUUGGAGGGAUGGUGACUGAAUGUGGGCCACCAUUGGUGCGAGGUGUCUUUUCAGUCGCUUCUCAGUGUUUUGUGACACAGGGUCCCAGGGCGUGGCUGGUCUACAGUGCAGGAGGCCCUGGGUUUCAUCCCUAGCUCUGCAUAAGUCAGGUGUGGUGGCUCAUGCCUGUGACCCCAGGAAGAGCAGAAAGGCAGAAAGAUCAGGGGUUCAAAGUCAUCCUUGGUUGCAUAGUGAUUUCUGGGCCAGCUUAGGCUGCGAGAGACCCUUUAUCCAAAAAAAAAAAAAAAAAA
rnacentral:lncRNA from 1 species